UACGGAGGGAGCUAGCGUUGUUCGGAAUUACUGGGCGUAAAGCGCACGUAGGCGGCUUUUUAAGUCAGGGGUGAAAUCCCGGGGCUCAACCCCGGAACUGCCCUUGAAACUGGAGAGCUAGAAUCUUGGAGAGGCGAGUGGAAUUCCGAGUGUAGAGGUGAAAUUCGUAGAUAUUAGGAAGAACACCAGUGGCGAAGGCGGCUCACUGGCCCGGUACUGACGCUGAGGCGCGAAAGCGUGGGGAGCAAACAGG
rnacentral:rRNA from 1 species